GCCUACGGGGGGCAGCAGUAGGGAAUUUUCGUCAAUGGGCGCAAGCCUGAACGAGCAAUGCCGCGUGAACGAGGAAGGUCUUCGGAUCGUAAAGUUCUGUUGAAGGGGAAAAAGAGCGGAGAGAGGAAAUGGUCUCCGAUUGAUAUUACCCUUCGAGGAAGUCACGGCUAACUACGUGCCAGCAGCCGCGGUAAUACGUAGGUGGCGAGCGUUAUCCGGAAUGAUUGGGCGUAAAGGGUGCGUAGGCGGCCUGCUAAGUCUGGAGUGAGAGGUACCGGCUCAACCGGUACAGGCUCGGGAAACUG
rnacentral:rRNA from 1 species